GGGAGAAGAGCUCAGCUCCACUCCACUGCCCCAUCGCUUACCUUCUCCUUCCUCCUCGUCUAGUUCCUCUUCACCGUCCACUGUAGUGAGCUCAGCGCCGACUUCGGCCCAUUCCUCUCCGCACCUCCGCCGCCGCCCCCGCCCUCUCCAUCCGUCGCACUCGAACAUUAGCGGCGGCCCCAUCCCCGCUGAAACCCAAAACCCUCCAUCAUCUCCACCAAGAAACACUGAAUUACCUCAAGAACCCAGAUUUGCACCAAAAUAAGUCCAAAUCCGUAUUUAGUGUAUAGCACACGGUGGAAGAGUCUUUGGGGAGAAGACUGGGGCAAGACAGGAGA
rnacentral:lncRNA from 1 species